rnacentral:rRNA from 1 species
AGUGAACGCUGGCGGUAGGCCUAACACAUGCAAGUCGAACGGCAGCACAGUAAGAGCUUGCUCUUACGGGUGGCGAGUGGCGGACGGGUGAGGAAUACAUCGGAAUCUACUUUUUCGUGGGGGAUAACGUAGGGAAACUUACGCUAAUACCGCAUACGACCUACGGGGGAAAGCAGGGGAUCUUCGGACCUUGCGGGAUUGAAUGAGCCGAUGUCGGAUUAGCUAGUUGGCGGGGUAAAGGCCCACCAAGGCGACGAUCCGUAGCUGGUCUGAGAGGAUGAUCAGCCACACUGGAACUGAGACACGGUCCAGACUCCUACGGGAGGCCGCAGUGGGGAAUAUUGGACAAUGGGCGCAAGCCUGAUCCAGCCAUACCGCGUGGGUGAAGAAGGCCUUCGGGUUGUAAAGCCCUUUUGUUGGGAAAGAAAAGCAGCAGGUUAAUACCCCGCUGUUCUGACGGUACCCAAAGAAUAAGCACCGGCUAACUUCGUG